UACGUAGGUGGCAAGCGUUGUCCGGAUUUAUUGGGUUUAAAGGGUGCGUAGGCGGCUUGAUAAGUCAGUGGUGAAAUCUCGUCGCUUAACGACGAAACUGCCUUUGAUACUAUCAGUCUUGAAUCCGGUAGAGAUCUGUGGAAUUCCGAGUGUAGCAGUGGAAUGCGUAGAGAUCCGGAAGAACACCAGUGGCGAAGGCGGCCCGCUGGGCAGUGGCUGACGCUGAGGCGCGACAGCGUGGGGAGCAAACAGG
rnacentral:rRNA from 1 species